rnacentral:rRNA from 1 species
UACAGGGGGUGCAAACGUUGCUCGGAAUCAUUGGGCGUAAAGCGCACGUAGGCGGUUCGUUAUGUCGGAUGUGAAAGCCCUUGGCUUAACCGAGGAAGUGCAUCCGAAACUGGCGAGCUAGAGUACGAAAGAGGAUCGCGGAAUUCCCGGUGUAGAGGUGAAAUUCGUAGAUAUCGGGAGGAACACCGGUGGCGAAGGCGGCGACCUGGUCCGAGACUGACGCCGAGGCGCGAAAGCGUGGGGAGCAAACAGG